rnacentral:rRNA from 1 species
GAUCCUGGCUCAGAAUCAACGCUGGCGGCGUGCCUCAGACAUGCAAGUCGAACGCGAAAGGCCCCUUCGGGGGCCGAGUAGAGUGGCGUCCGGGUGAGUAACACGUAGGUAAUCUACCUCUGGGUGGGGAAUAACGACCGGAAACGGUCGCUAAUACCGCAUAAUGCAGCGGCACCACAUGGUGACAGUUGUUAAAGCGGGGGAUCGCAAGACCUCGCGCCUAGAGAGGAGCCUGCGGCGGAUUAGCUAGUUGGCAGGGUAAUGGCCUACCAAGGCAACGAUCCGUAGCCGGCCUGAGAGGGCGGUCGGCCACACUGGCACUGACACACGGGCCAGACUCCUACGGGAGGCAGCAGUCGGGAAUUUUGGGCAAUGGGCGAAAGCCUGACCCAGCAACGCCGCGUGAAGGAUGAAGCUUUUCGGAGUGUAAACUUCAUAAGAAUGGGACGAAUAAGGAAGGGCUAAUACCCCUUUUGAUGACGGUACCAUUUGUAAGCUCCGGCUAACUCCGUGCCAGCAGCCGCGGUAAUACGGGGGGAGCAAGCGUUGUUCGGAUUUACUGGGCGUAAAGGGCGCGUAGGCGGCGCAACAAGUCACUUGUGAAAUCUCCGGGCUUAACCCGGAGCGGCCAAGUGAUACUGUCGUGCUAGAGUGCGGAAGGGGCUACUGGAAUUCUCGGUGUAGCGGUGA